UACGUAGGGGGCAAGCGUUGUCCGGAUUUAUUGGGCGUAAAGAGCGUGUAGGCGGUUAGGUAGGUCCGUUGUGAAAACUCGAGGCUCAACCUCGAGACGCCGAUGGAAACCAUCUGACUAGAGUCCGGAAGAGGAGAGUGGAAUUCCUGGUGUAGCGGUGAAAUGCGCAGAUAUCAGGAGGAACACCAAUGGCGAAGGCAGCUCGCUGGAACGGUACUGACGCUGAGACGCGAAAGCGUGGGGAGCAAACAGG
rnacentral:rRNA from 1 species